ACAUUGUUGUGGGUGUCAAAUUCAUUUCAUAUUGUGGGCCACAUACGGCCUCGGUUGAUGUCAAGUGGGCCGGACCAUUAAAAUUAUACCAUACUCUGCUAUGAAUAACCAAAAUAACAUGUCUUUAUUUUGUUUUGGUCUAAAGAAGCACAAGAACAUGAAAUAAAGUAUUCACAUGUCCUUGAUAGCGUCUGAUGUGUUGGGUCUGUCUCAGUAACACAUUGAGACUGCCGUUGUCUUCUACUCUGAUCAAAACAGUGUGUCCCCUAGCGGAUAUUUCAUGAAUUUCACCUUAUUCAAAAUAUACAUUCCGUG